GGGGCCGUAGUUUAACGGUAGAACAUCAUACCUUCUUCUCCAUUUGCCCAGAGGACGGGCCGCUCGAGGAAGGUUAUCGGAUUACCCUCUGAAAGAUGCGGGUUCGAAUCCCGCCGGCUCCA
rnacentral:tRNA from 2 species